AGUCGCUUCAAUAGUUGUGAACGACCUGUCAGGGUUCGUAUCUCUCGUCGAGACCACAAGAGAUGACGGUCUUCAGGUAAAUACAGGACUAUGAACCCUUUGUGAAGCUGCCUGCCCUCCGAGAGCCGUAAAUGCCCAGACACUUUAAUUCAAAAUCCAGUUUAAAAAAAUGAUCUGGAACAAAGGGAGGAGCUUUGAUAAGCCGCCGCCUUCCUGUCCCUAUCGAGGUCACUCACUAGAGAUAUGAGAAACUUCAGGCAAAUUCAGCUCCCUCUCCCAUCCUGCUUACCAGACGCUCCUUGAGGUCACACAUACGAGUACAUAUUUAUGUGUGGGUCGCUCCUGAAGGUUGGUGGUGUUGUGGGGGUUCAUGCAGUACUCCAUACAGCUCUUGUUAUCUUGAGAUGAUUUCGGGGCUUUUUAGUGUCCCCGCGGCCCGGUCCUCGACCAGCCCUCCACCCCCAGGAAGCAGCCCGUGACAGCUGACUAACACCAGGUACCUAUUUUACUGCUAGGUAACAAGGGCAUAGGGUCAAAGAAACUCUGCCCCAUUGUUUCUCGCCGGCGCCUGGGAUCGAACCCGGGACCACAGGAUCACAAGUCCCUCGUGACUUUCCUCAGGUUUUAAGUCCCUCGUUAAUUUUGGCGUCGUCUGUGUAAUCUUUAUUAUGUGUACAGUUUUACCCUCUCGCUUGACCUACCUCCCAGCCUUGUAAUUUACUUUAC